UCUCCGUUGGUGAACCAGCGGAGGGAUCAUUACCGAGUUUACAACUCCCAAACCCAAUGUGAACCAUACCAAACUGUUGCCUCGGCGGGGUCACGCCCCGGGUGCGUCGCAACCCCGGAACCAGGCGCCCGCCGGAGGGACCAACCAAACUCUUUCUGUAGUCCCCUCGCGGACGUUAUUUUUACAGCUCUGAGCAAAAAUUCAAAAUGAAUCAAAACUUUCAACAACGGAUCUCUUGGUUCUG
rnacentral:misc_RNA from 1 species